UGGCUUUUAGCAACCAGAACCUCUGCUAUUUAAAUAGCAAAAUUUCAGCUUCAGUUAACUUCAACCUGCGAUUUCUUGAUCUUGGGAGCUCCGAUUGAGGUGAUUCAAAGUGUUAGGGGUCCGUGUUGAUUGUGGCUACACGUUGGAGUGUUUCAGGAGUGUUGAAGGCUCUCCAUUUGAGGCAUGGAAUCGAGCCCCAUUUUGGGGCACAAGCUCGCUUGGCGAUUUGGAGGCCUUUCAGAAAUGGAUAGCUCGUGUGUGGUGGAUUCGGGGCACUCAUGAUCGGCUUUGAGGUA